rnacentral:rRNA from 1 species
UGGGGAAUAUUGCACAAUGGGCGAAAGCCUGAUGCAGCGACGCCGCGUGAGGGAUGAAGGCCUUCGGGUUGUAAACCUCUUUCAGCAGGGAAGAAGCGCAAGUGACGGUACCUGCAGAAGAAGCGCCGGCUAACUACGUGCCAGCAGCCGCGGUAAUACGUAGGGCGCAAGCGUUGUCCGGAAUUAUUGGGCGUAAAGAGCUCGUAGGCGGUUUGUCGCG